GGAAUAUUGCACAAUGGGGGAAACCCUGAUGCAGCGACGCCGCGUGAGUGAAGAAGUAUUUCGGUAUGUAAAGCUCUAUCAGCAGGGAAGAAAAUGACGGUACCUGAUUAAGAAGCCCCGGCUAACUACGUGCCAGCAGCCGCGGUAAUACGUAGGGGGCAAGCGUUAUCCGGAUUUACUGGGUGUAAAGGGAGCGUAGACGGCAGCACAAGUCUGGAGUGAAAUGCCGGGGCUUAACCCCGGAACUGCUUUGGAAACUGUGCAGCUAGAGUGCAGGAGAGGUAAGUGGAAUUCCUAGUGUAGCGGUGAAAUGCGUAGAUAUUAGGAGGAACACCAGUGGCGAAGGCGGCUUACUGGGCCGACACUGACGCUGAGGCGCGAAAGCUAGGGGAGCGAACAG
rnacentral:rRNA from 1 species